UUGACCUCGGAUCAGGCAGGGAUACCCGCUGAACUUAAGCAUAUCAAUAAGCGGAGGAAAAGAAACCAACAGGGAUUGCCUCAGUAACGGCGAGUGAAGCGGCAACAGCUCAAAUUUGAAAUCUGGCUCUUUUAGGGUCCGAGUUGUAAUUUGUAGAGGAUGCUUCGGCGUCGGCUCCGGUCUAAGUUCCUUGGAACAGGACGUCAUAGAGGGUGAGAAUCCCGUAUGUGAUCGGUUGCCCUUGCCAUGUGAAGCUCCUUCGACGAGUCGAGUUGUUUGGGAAUGCAGCUCUAAAUGGGAGGUAAAUUCUUCUAAGCUAAUACUGGCCAGAGACCGA
rnacentral:rRNA from 1 species